rnacentral:misc_RNA from 1 species
GAUGAAGAAACGCAGCGAAAUGCGAUAAGUAAUGUGAAUUGCAGAAUUCAGUGAAUCAUCGAAUCUUUGAACGCACAUUGCGCCCGCCAGUAUUCUGGCGGGCAUGCCUGUUCGAGCGUCAUUUCAACCAUCAAGCCCCCGGCUUGUGUUGGGGACCUGCGGCUGCCGCAGGCCCUGAAAAGCAGUGGCGGGCUCGCUGUCACACCGAGCGUAGUAGAUUUCAUCUCGCUCAGGGCGUGCUGCGGGUUCCGGCCGUUAAACCACCUUCAUAACCCAAGGUUGACCUCGGAUCAGGUAGGAAGACCCGCUGAACUUAAGCAUAUCAAUAAGCGGAGGA